CUCAAUGCUAAUGCUGGGUGGAUAAUGCAGCAUUGCUGGAGGGAUUAAAGGCAAAUUACCUCUUAGCCUUUGAAGGUUCUUCUAAGUAGAGGGAUCUGUUGCUUAAUUCACAUUUUAAUGCAUUUAAUAGCUCUAAAAAUAUUUUAUCUGGACCUCCUAUUUGCCAGACAUUCUAAUAGGUUCUAUGAAGGAUUUAGACAAAGACUCAGCCAUAGGUCCUAUCAUCGAGAUUCUUCCAGUCUGUGAGGAGGCACAAACCUGCAUAAAUGUAAUUACAUUAUAAUAUUGCAGGUGUAAAAUAAAAGUAUGUUAAGAGCAAAGAGUUGGCAUAUGAUUAACAGCUAUGAUAUGCAGGCAAGACUUCCAGAUGAGUUGCUGAUGAAACUUGUGUGAGGCACAAAAAAGAUGGAUAAGAGUUUCACAGGAGUGUAAAAUGGCAAUGUGCAUUAUGUGUUUGUUAAGGGGUAUCAAGAUGUGGAAGACAUCAUCUGUGAUUCUUCUUGAGUCUUGGACUCUGUAAAAUCCACAUUGUCAAGUCAUAAGUCAACUUGAAGCUCAGAGGCUGCCUGUGUUGGGAAAAAGGGUGUGAAUCUCCAGGGCAAGACAAAGAUUAAGUAAUGGAUGCUUUGAUGUUGUUUCCUUGAAUGCGUCUAUCUCAUGUGUGUUUCUCCCCAAAUAUUUGGUGAUAAUGUGGUUUGGCUGAAGGAGAGAAUGUUUGUUGAACAUUAUGUCAGCAUAAUAUCAGCUUUAGAAUUUCACAGAUAUCUAAGUGUCCUAAGAGACCAACUGGACUGGAUAUCAGACCAAGAUUCUGAUAAAAGGGGAUAACAGAGAUUAACCGGAGCAGAAAAAGUACUUUUCUGAGCCAGAGAUAACAAGAGAAACUUAAAGAAAGUGCUGAAGCAAGAAACUUUAAGCCUGUGAGUAGGAUGAACCUAACCAGUUGGCAGUGCCUCGUACUCUGUGAUGGAUUUUCCGAAGACCAAAUGUACCAUUUUCUUGUCUUUUCAAAGAGAGCCACACAGGAAGGAAAACAAGAAAUUCAACUUUUAAGCUGGGCUAUUCAUGGCCUUUGCUAAAUCCUGGCAGAAUUUCACAGUUCUUCAUUACAAUUCAUCUCACUGAUUUCCUAAUGCAAUGAACUGGCCUUUUCAUUAAGGCCAUAGGGAAUGAAGCUGAGUUACCCAAUCAUUAAGUGUUGUUAUCUGAUGAGUGAAAAAUGGAUUACUUUUCGAUGUGCAUUUGGGGAGCCGUGUGUGUGUGUGUGUGUGUUUCCACUAGAUUCCAUUUUGCGAAAAUUGGUUCAAGUGGAAGGACAGGGUUAAUCUUUCAUGUUCUGUUCUGCUAGAACACUAUAUGGCUUUCUGCUCUGUGAGCAGGCAAAGAAAAAUUGGUGGGCUCAGGAAUCAGAAAUGCAGGGCCAACAGUCCUGUUUCUCACUUUCGAUAAAGGCCAACAUUUUACCUGCUCAAGAACACUCUAUUCCUUUAACCAACGGGAGUGUUAUUUAAUUAGUUCCUUCGUUUUUCAGCUAAAGCAGACACAUGCGCACAUCACACACACAUGCAUGCGCUGUGGUGUUUUUUCUUCUAUCACCCCUCCCUCCACAGAGAUAUCAAUUUGCAUAAGAGGAGAAAAUAAAUUCAUUUAAACCCCAUUCUAAAUUCAGUAUUAGAAAUGUAAUGAUCUCUAACACUGACCUUUUUAAAAUACUUUGUGGAUAAACCAUUGAUUUUAUUUGUUCUAAAUUUACUUUAAAAGACCUGUUUUGUAAAUCACUAAAACACAUGUAUUUUAUUUACCUGUUUGGGAUAAUAUUAAACAUAAUCUUUGAGGGUACUAUUUUGUCUAUUAUAGUUUUAUUCUAUAACAUAGAUUGAACCGUUUUCAUAUCCAAUUCAUUUUCAUUAAAUUUUUAAAUGGUAGUGGUUUAGGCUUGGGAUUAGAUAAUACAUAGCCCAUUUGAUAUAACAUUAAAGCAUCUUUAUUAGAUGUAAAUAAUUUAUCACCCAGGUGUUUAGUUUACAGAGUACUAAAUAUUUACAUAUUUCAUAACAUGUAAAUCAAAUGCUAAAUAAAAAAUUUUAAUUUGCCAUCCUGUUAUUUUAGCAUUAUAUAAACACAUUUGCAAAGAUUUUAAUGUUUUAAUGUGAAUUAAAGGUACAUGUACCUAACCUCUUAUCUUUCUACCAAUCCUAGUAUGCAUAUAUCUGAAAUAGUAGUGUGUGAGGUGUGUGUGUGUAUGUGUGUGUUCAUGUGUGUGACAGAGUGUAUUAUGUUUUUUGAAAUGCAGAGAUUAGGAUAAAGGAAACCAUAAAUGCAAAAUAAAUUAAUUCUCUAGAAUAAUUGUAUGCAGUGGUCUACACAAUUUUGUUAAAUUUGGCUCAUUCAUUUUUUUGUCUCACGUAUAAAUCAAAGUAAAUAGUUAAAACAUGAAGUAUGUUCUUUCCUAAGUUGGAUUGUGGUUUACAAGAUAUUGAAACAACUGAGCAUUAUAAAUAUAGCCAGUCAAUUUGUUGGGGGCUAAGAAAAAAAAAUGAAAGAAAAAAAGAAAAUUGAAGUUGUAUUUUAUCUCCAUGCAGCACUAUACAAAUUCAAAACCAAAUUCAGGAUUUCUGAGCUUGUAAAAUCUGAACAGUAACUCUCUUCAUUUUAGCCUACCUAGAUCUAUAUUUUAAUCAAUGUAAUAUUAGCAACCUGUAUAGAUGACAAUGAGAUGAAGAUGUACAAAAAUGUACCCAACUGUUCCAUUUUGAAGAGUAAUAAUUAAUGAGAACACUUAUAUUUGGGCAAUAGCAAAUGAAAUUAUAAGACUAUGUAAGCGUGACU
rnacentral:lncRNA from 1 species